AAAAAGAAAGAAACGGCACACGCUACUCCUCCGCGACGCGAAAAAAAAAGAAACGGCGCCUCCUCUUCUCACUCGUCACCCGACACCGCAGACUUCUCCCUCUCCGCCGUCGUCGUAUCCCGCCUCCUUCACACCAUCGCCGCCCCUCAAUCCAUCCUCGCGCCUCCCUCGACCGCCGCCGCACCGAUCCGAUCUCUCUCGCGCUUCUCCCCCGCCGCCGCCGCUCCAGAUCCCCCCGCUUUUCCUCCUCCUUCCGCCCACCUGCCAUCGACGCCACUGCCCCUGCUGCUGACUCCACCUCCUCCCCGCCGCCGACGCCUAGCGCCGCUGCUGCCCACCCGCAACCGCCAUUGCCCAACCGCAACCGCCGUUGCCGCCCCAGAUACCCCGCCUUUCCUCCUUCCGCCCACCUGCCACCGACGCCGCCGCCCCUGGCAGUGACUCCUCCCCGACGCCGACGCCACCGCCGCCGACGCCUACUGCAACCGACGCCGAAUCCCCCGCCGCCAACGCCACCGCCACCGCCGUCGACGCCUACUCCUUUGGCAGUGUGGAGGACUGCUGCUUCCCUGUCCCCAUCUAGUGUGUGCACGCUUUGUGUUUGUUAAAAUGCAUAUGUGAAAAAACUGUGGAUUGCUGAAUCUUAUGGUCUAGAUUGAUAGCUGAUGCAUUGGGGUGAUCAUACAAAUGAUUUCCGUUGGUAAUCAUUUUUCCCUACCUUACCAUGGAAUCUCUACUCCUCACUGAAGCUUGAAAUGCUAGCUCCUCAGGGCUCAGGUGCGCUGGAGCAUGCAGUUUGACAACAAGUACAUUGCUUUGUGUCUAUGCUUCCCUACUGCUCAAUGAAAUGAUUGGCUGGGUUAGCUCCUGUACUUAAAUCGGUUUCAUUCCUAUGCAACAAUUAAGCACAAAAUAUAACAUAGUUGGGGGGUUCAUGAUGUUUCAGAAACUUGGAUGUAUUCUGUGUAUAUUAAUAUUUAGGAUGUGAGAAUGAAAUUUCUCCCUUUCAUGUCUUCAUGGAGGACAAUAAUGGUAACCACAGUUUUUUCACAUAUGCAACAAUCAAGCACAAAAUAAAACAUAGUUGGGGAGUUCAUGAUGUUUCAGAAACUUGGAUGUAUUCGGUGUAUAUUAAUAUUUAGGAUGUGAGACAAUGAAAUUUCUCCCUUUCAUGUCUUCAUGGAGGACAAUAAUGGUAACAACAGUUCUUUUCACAUAUCCAACAAUCAUGCACAAAAUAUAACAUAGUUGGGGAGUUCAUGAUGUUUUCAGAAACUUGGAUGUAUUCGGUGUAUAUUAAUAUUUUGGAUGUGAGACAACGAAAUUUCUCCCUUUCAUGUCUUCAUGGAGGACAAUAAUGGUACCUUAAUCUAUGGCAUCAUGGUUCCAAAUUGUGUUCAAGUUGGGUAAGUUUUUUUUUUUUUUGUGGCAACUACCCUUCAGAAUUGUGGAACAUAAUACUAAGGUCAAAAUUAAAAAUCGGUGCAUGAGGUGUGGGUUAAGGAGAUUAUAAAAUCAAGAUGAGGGUCUUUGCUAGAUAUAAGUUCACAUAGAAAACCAGGAUUAGCUUAAUUUUCUACUUGGACUGAACUUGUAGUAGAACCAAAUUUCAGAAGGAGCCUGUCCUGAGCACAACACUGUGCUUUAAAUCUAAUGCAAGAGAUUUAUAUAAGCUGUGGGACAACGAUUUGUAUUCCAGGAUGGAGGUUCAAUAUUUUCCUUCUAAAUAGAAGCAGAGAGUUGGCAUCUUGUGCAGAAUGUUUCCUCAUUUGUUCUCCUUUUGACAAGUAAAAUGCAUCAAUGAUAAUCUGUGGGUGGAAAUUAGCAUCACAUGCUUCAUUCGUCCAUCACCUAAAAAGAUUCUCAUAUAAUCUGAUAUUGGUUUCUGUAGGUGAAUGUUUAGUUGUUUAAACAUUGCUUUAUUACUGCCAAUUAAACUCGCCCUUUUUUCUCUUUAGUUGCUUCCCUGUUUGUGAUCAAAUCAACGGUUUAUCUAUGCUUUGUACUCAGCUUUGUUAGGUAGUAUCAGAUUAGAGAGCACUGAAUAAUUAACUAUUUUUUAUCUUCUACUGACAGCUACCAAGUGAAAGGAUAGUUCAACUACCCUGGUGUCCAUGUUGAGUAUGACCAACAUCGGCAUCCUUUACAUAGUUGUCAAGUGCUUUUUUUUUGAUAAAACUGAUUAUAUGACAUAUAUAUCCUCCCUGGGUUCUGUUUUUUCCCCUUGAAUCUUUUUUUGUUACAAAUCUGGGCAAUCCAGUAGGCAUUAGCGAAGACAGUCAUCAUUACCUAUGAUAAACAUCUGAUGCUAUCUAAACAAUCAAGUUAAUAGCUCCCAACUAAUAGAACUUGAAAAGGAGGAUUAAUGAUUGUUACUUGCAGCUGCUGGAACCUAGAAUGGUCUACUUCAUUGUCAGGGAGUAGAAGGUGGUGGAGUUGUCUCGGAGGCACUCCCUCAAGGCUGCUGAGGCCACCCCGUUCAAGAGACUGAAUGUGAAUAUACUCUUGAGAAAUUUGCAGUAAAUUGGCAGUAAUGGCACCAAGGAUCAAAGAAAAUACUACCAUUUUUUUUGCUGAGUCCAAGUUAUGGUUUAGCACUGGAGACACAUUAUUAAUUUUCUUCUUGCAAUAUGUAUUCAGCGUGUGGGUUGAUAAUUUAGAGAGCUCUAAAACGAUAGCGGAAAAUCAAACAAAAAUCUUACUAGGCGCAAGUGCUAAAUAAUGACAGGUAUUUCCAAAGA